rnacentral:rRNA from 1 species
UUGUUGGAGAGUUUGAUCCUGGCUCAGGACGAACGCUGGCGGCGUGCUUAACACAUGCAAGUCGAGCGGAAAGGCCCUUCGGGGUACUCGAGCGGCGAACGGGUGAGUA